CCAGUGCCGGCGCCAGUGCCGGUGCCCGUGCCGGUGGACAUCCUGCUCGAAAUGACAGUGCCAACAAAUAAGCCAGCUGAGGGAUUCAACGACGUUGGCAACUACUACUGAAUAGGCCCUUAAGAGCCGAUCCUAAAUAAGAGGGAUUUAACCUCGUUGCAUGCAUGAUCGUAAUUAAACAUAUUGCCUAAAAUAAGAGUUGAUCCAAAAUCCAAGGUUUAUAGCAAGACCUCUAAAUUUGUGUAAUAUCGUUACUAUAAUAAAUUAAGAGUGCUAUUAUUUUCACUCCAAUGUCUUAUCUCUAUACUUACUUCUUAGUUAAAAUUUUAAUUACAAGUUUGUCUAUUUAUAAAAUGAUUGAUAAAGACUUUAAAGAUAAUAUACAUAGUUCUUUAAGAGGAGAGAUCCCAUUUGAGCCAUAGAUCAGACCUCGCAAUGAACUCGUUAUUCGCUAAUACGAAAAUCAAAUGCCAGGAGAAAGAGGAAGAAACUUGCUAGCUCUUUCCUCCCCUCUGGCAGCUGUGGUUUUGCUUGACAUGAUUUAUAUUUGUGGAUAAAGCAGAGCUUCUUUUGAAGUAUAUGGUCGUGGUGAUGCCCUUCCCAAUCACGUACUAUGAGUACUGUAGGAGGGGCAAUUUGCUAGAAGCUAUCAAGCUGUGGGAUGUUAUGCUAGUUAGGGGUCUGAAACCUGAUAUUUUAGCAUACAGCUUUUUAUACAUGGUUGUUGUGUGACUGGAGAACUAACUGUUGGAAAAUUAGUUAUUAGUUUAUGCACCUAGUCUGCAUACCGCACCACCAUCUGCUCGCACCCAUAUCCGUUAUACCAUCACUGCAAUCUGACCUGUUGUUGAACGAAUCCGUAAACGACGCUGCACCACCUGCAUCGCUCCGCUCUGGUCUGCAGCUCCCCGGCCGCACUGGAUUUGGUGAAACCACUUACACUGACUCUGCUUCUACACCUUUGAACGCUGCAACCUGCAGGAGCAUCCCACAAAUCUGUAUGGCUGCAAAGGAAAAAAGAGGAAAAAGGAGAAUGGAAUAAAAAGAAUGAAAAAAGGGGAGUAAAAAAAGGAAGAAACAAGAAAAAGAAAAAGAAAAAAUUGGUUGAUUGUUUGAGGCUUAGGCCCACAGGCAAGAAAGAAAUAUGAUUUGUUUGGUUUGUCUAUCGUUCUCACCGCGACGAUCGCUCGAGUGCUUGGACUGGUGAUCACUCAAGUGAAGUUAUGAAAGUUAGAUUUUUUGUUUUUGUUCAAGUUUGUUCGGAAGUUGGAAUUUGCAUUGGCAUUGGCAUCGGUAUUCGGCAUCGGCAUCGGCAUCGGCAUCGGUAUUGGCAUUAGCAUCGGCAUUGAUAUUGACAUUGGCACUGACAUUGGCAUUGGAAUUGGCAUUGGCUCUAGCACUAGAAUUUGGAGUCUUGCAUUCGCAUCUACUUGUUGGCAAACUCAUGAUGUGUACCGCCAUGAGUUUGACAGGGGGUGUUGGAAAAUUAGUUAUUAGUUUAUUUUUGUUUAUGGUUUUCUUGUGGGACAAGGAUAUUAGAAUUUUCUAUAUCCUUUAAGGGUUAGGAUUUAGGGUUUAUUAGAGUUUUCUAUAUCCUUUAAGGAUUAGGAUUUUGCUUUAGUUUUCACUAUAUAUAAUAGAGCUUGUAAUUUAGUUUGAGAAUAAGUUAGUCGCAAUGUAGUCUUUUAGGGUUUUGUAGCCGUUUUUGCAUUCUCAGUUUGUUUAAUAAUAUUCUUAUUAUUUUGUUAAUCUUGUUCGUUGCGCUCUGAUAUUCAACUCUAACCAAGGCUUUCGAGUUGCGUGAUGACAUGAUGAGUAGAGGAUUGAAGCCAAAUCGAGUUACAUAUAAAACACUCAUCCGUGGGACUUGCCUGACAAGUUAGGUUCUGUCCAUCAGCUGCAACUUAUGCAGGAAGAGUCGUUCUUUUGUUGUAUACGGAUUACGGAACCAGGCAUGCUUUCAAUACAUCGCGGAGCCAUGAUGAUUGAUGGUUCAACAUUCACAUUUUGUUUUUAGAUUAGAUACACACACAUCUAACUUGACAACAUGACCAGUUAUUCGUUUUAUGUACACUUUUUCCACCCUAUAUGCUGAUUUAUUAAGAAGGGAUGGUGGGAAUCCUUUAACUGAUUGUGUUCAGCAACGCGAACUAAGCCUGUGGGGAUGUAGGUUAUUGUUGUCAUGUUUUACAUACAUUUAAUCUCUAACAAGAUUUACCUGGAUUUUUGUUCUGGAUCCCUUCCACCUAAGACAUUGAGCACGGCCCUUGAAAUUUGAUUCAACAACUAAAAACAGGAGGUCCCAUUAAAAGUUAUAAUAACUUUAGCCGUUAAAUCAAAUUUCAAGUGUCCGGAUUUUUUGCUCAGUUGGCUUAGGUGGAAGGGAUCCGGAGAAGAUCCAUUUCCUUUAGUUGCAUCUCUUUGAUUUGGCCACACUCCAUGUUUGUGUCACGUAUAUGAUCUCCGUGUUGGAUAAAUAUCAACAAUCAAUGAUAAAUUUAUAUAUGCUAAUAAAUAAUAAAUGCGAAUAGAUAAAUUAACAGAGUAUGAACAAAACAAAAAUAUUAAAUAGACAACUUGAAGAUCGAGGCUUGCGUACCACAAUGUCCUUGAAACAGAAAUUUCGUCCCUACUCAGUGCUUGUAGUUCUACGGACGUCGACUUCACCAUGAUUCAACGAUCUAAGUCAGAAUUCCAGCACCGAAAAACUUGACUUCUAGCGAAUUUCUUUGUGGUUCUCUCAGUAAGGAUGUUUGGGAUUGUAGAAGAAGAAUUUGAUUUUUCUGUGUUUAAAAUGUCAUGUAGAUGGAUGUAUUUAUUGUAAGUUUAUACAAGUUCGCAACAGGUAUGAGAUUGGGUGCGUCUUUUGGAAGACAUCUUUCCCAAAUUCGUGCUUUGCUCUGCGUUCUUUCAUCACUUCAGACUUUAUCUGAAAAGAUGAGUCUGGUAAUAAAAAAAAUAAAAUUAAUUAAAGAAUUUAACUUUUAGAGCCCCAAGGCUCAAGGCUCAUCUUUCGAUUAUAUAUAUUAAUUAGUACACUCCAAAGCCCAACUCUAAAGUUGAGCCCAAUUUCAUUCUCCAUGGUCCAUCAUUUCAAUCACUAUCUAUAAGGAAUAAAGCCUUCUAAUGUGAGGGAACCUUUUGGUAGUGACCAAUAUGGGACAAUAAAAUUUCUACUCAAAAUUUUCAACACUCCGAUAUGCCAGAUGCUGCUUUUUCUAGAAAUUUGGUUGGUUAGCUAGUUAAGAGAAGGUGAACUGAGCCUCUAAGUUGCACUUGCACAUAUUUUUCCUUAUGUCCUGCAACUUUAUAAUAUUUUUUUUCCGGUACAACGGCGGAGAGCCUAACAACUACCCGGGAAUGGCCCUGGACUUUGCCAAACGAACAAUACUUGGUUACUAAAAGAUGAGUGUGAACUCCUACUCAAAAUUCUUAGUGUUUGAAUCACGGAGCUUUGUGUUUAUGAUUAGAAUCGUUCAUACUAUGAAUCACAUUGUAAAGAUUAUCUCCGCAAAAAUUAAAUUAAAACUAAAGCCGUUUAGUCAAUCUAUUGGAGUAAAUAUAUAGACAGUUCAUAAUACUUUUACCACUACCGUUCAUUUGUUUUUAAAUAGUUUGAUGACUAAACGACCUUAGUUUUAAUUGAUUGUUUGCAAAUGCGAUAUUUAUAUGGUGAUUUAUAAUAUGAACAGUUCUGAUUAUAAAUACAAAGUUCUAUAAAUUGACAACAAACUAUUUUGAAAAUUUUUGAGUAGGAGUUCCUACUCAUCUUUAACAAAGUAUUAUUCUUGCCAAACUCAAGGUAUCAGAAGCCACCAGCGAGUUUAUAAUCUAAUCGACAAUAUAUGAGCUCAACAUGCAGGUGGAUCUCUCAAUAAACAGUGAAGGAGUUACACAAUGCGCUCAUGCAACACUAGGUUUUUGGAAAAAAAAACGGGCGGCUAUCCGCUCAGAGAGCAAAAAAUUUCAGUUGUGACGGAAAUACGGAUGUACACCACGUGUUUUUAUGCAAGGGGAGGAAAAUUUUAAUUUUUAAGUUAUUAACCUUUUAACACACAUAACCUACCAUUUAUAUUGAGACACGUAGUGUACUACUUUGUGUGACGGGAACACUGAAAAAUCUCUCCUCAGAGAGAGUCAUACCUAUUAAUCCAGUGUCUGAAUAGCUAGAACCAAAAUGGUGUAAUACAGGCACACAAAAAAACGAAAAACAAACUCAUUUCCGAACCAAAACUAACAGCAUAACAGCUCUUUUUCUACAUGGUUAAAAAGAGUAAGACGCGUUUGAGGUUUAACAGUACAAACCCAGUUUUUCUUCCUUCAGGAGAUGACACGACUUAGCUUCUAGAUGUAACCAUAAGGACAUACACUGCAUAAGUUCCUUCACCUCGUCUAAAACCGAGAUCGCAGGACUCGUUCAAAAUGAAGAGAGACUGAAAGGUAAAUUCAAACCGAGAAUUAUAAUCUAGUCAAAGUUCACAACCCCACAAACUAUGAACAUAUCACAUAAAAGUAAAGCAGAGCAUGAGAAAAACGGACAUAACAAGACCAAGCUUCUUAGUUUGCACGACUUUUGAUAACAUCGAGACCUAUCUCAGUCGGAUCAGUAGCCUGCAGCUCGACUUGUAUGCCGUCCAAUUCUCUCUUGAACCUGUCCUUGGAGCUUGCAUAAAGAACAUAAGCAAAAAUGACGAGAAAAAGAGAGACGCGUUUUUAGGUUAGAAAAGUACCAUCCGACGAAGAAAAUCCUGCUUUUCUGACAGUUCUCUACAGUCACAAAGUCAAAAUCAUAGACAGCAUAUCUGCAUUCAUUAUCAGGAAGGUUUGCAGUAAAGUCUUCAUAGCUUUCAGCUGGCUCACCGAGCUUCUCCACAAUCACCUCAUUUUUCUUCUCGUCAAUCUUGAACACUAUGAAGCGAUAUGUUCUCUUAGCCUUCAAUUCCAGGAACUUCAGCUUGCAGUCAUCAUUCACAGCAAAUCCGGACGCUGCAUCAGCCUGAUCAUAUGAUGAAACAGAAGAUAGAUGUUAUUCUUAUGCAACUUAUUUCCACAAACCCAACACACACUGGUUUUGAAACAAUAAACAUGUAUUCACUCUCCUACUCAGCCAAAAAAAUUAAGCUCAGAAAUUCUCAAGAAAACAAUUAAUCUACAAUGUUGUGCCAAAGUUAUCAAACAACGGAAUCAGAUAUUAAAAUGCCACGGUGCCUCUCCUUGAAUGUAAGGGCCCGUUUAAUAACCAAUUUUAAUUCUAUAGAUAGAGAAGUAUGCGGGAGAAAGGAGGAGCAAGGGUGAACAAGGGAUGGUGGAACAAAUGUGAAGGGAUGUGUAUGUAAUGGCACACAAUGGAAACUGAAAACAAUUUUGAAGUUGUUUUCGCUUUCUAGUUUUGUUUUCAUAUAAUCUCCUUCAUUUCUCCCCCUCCCAUCACCCCUCCCACCACCUCCCUUCAUCCUUUACAUUCCUCAUUUCUCCCGUAUACUCUCCCUCUACUUUAGCACAAAAAAUGAAGGCCUGCUGAUUGGUUAAAAGGGAUACCAUUCAUCAAAUUCAAUGCAGAUUUGCUUGUUGAAGUUGCUUGUUGCGUGUUGGUAAAUUUUGUGUUGCGAUACCAUUCAUCAAAUUCAAUGCAGAGUUGGUUUUCUUAGGGCACUACCCUUGUGACUACUGACGAGGUGGUAACGGCGGUGGCGGCAGCUGCAUUUUGCCUUUGCGGGAUAGAGAUUAGAAUUUUUAUUUUUGUUGUUUUAUCUUUUGUUGAAUGGGUUUUUGUCUACCCCAAUUUUUAAACAAGGGUCUUCUGAUUGGUUAAAAAGGGAUUGGUUUUCAAAAAGUGAAGGUCUGCUUUGAAAAAUGGAAGGCACGGGGACAGUGGUCCCCUUUAAAUUUUUCUAUUUUUUUUAACCAAUUAAUGAAACAGCGUCGUUUGUUUGAGGAGGUUUUUUUUUUUUUUUUUUCAAUACUAAAUGAAACGAUGCUGUUUCAUUUAAGGGAUUUAAAAAAAAAAAAAAAGUACAUAAGCUGCUACUGUGCAGCAGCAGAAACCGAUCUGUAGACUACAGUGCAACCAUUCAUUCCAACAAGACCAGAGGGGCGGAACCACAUUCAUGGGCUUAAUUUCCGAUGAUGGGAGGGGCGGCCGCCCCUCACAGUCCCUCUGUAGCUUCGCCACUGAAUGAGAUGACCUCUGUCAAUAAGAAUUCGAAAAUCCUUCUCGACCAGACUUGGAUAGAUAACCAGUUGGUCUCGACGCAGUACUGUUUAUCCAAACUGAAGGUGCUCCGCCGUCGACUGAUUCUACGGCAAUAGUGCUGUUUAUCCAAACUAAAGAUGUCACUGGUUGCCUUCACAGUGUUGUUUAUCCAAACUAAAGUUGUGUCGGCGAAAAUAAAAUAAAAAUCUCAAGGUUGUUGAGAGGUUUCGCAUAGAGCGAGAGUUUGCGUAGGGCAGAGUGUUGAGUUCGAGAGGUUUUACGAUGCACAGUGCCCCUGUAUUUAUAAUGCUGCUCUCACUGAUGGCCAAGCCAUAAAUCUCUGAGUCUCCUGAUGUGUCACGGCUACUAGAAAAUAAUCUCUUAGUCUUUUGAUGUAUCACGACUACCAAAUUGAAGCAAUCCCUCAGUCUCCUUACGAAUCUUUAAUAUUUAAAUACACCACAUCUGACCAAACACGUCUACUCCUUAUCCCAUCAUCAUGUGAUUAAUGGUCAAGAAAUUACCAUGUCACUAUCUUCUGUUAAUUUGCUUUUCCAUCAUGUCCAUAGGCUAAAGCCUAAACACAUCACAUCACCAUCUUUCACCUUUAACCCAUGCAUGGAUUAAUUGCAUGAAAUUAAUCCAGUAUUAGCUGCAUUGCCAGAUACAUAAUAUCCCAUCAUCAUUCAAAUUGGGAUUUAGAUAAAUAUCAGGUUUAAAUAAUUUAAUAUAUUACUAAGAGAUAAUAUCAUGAUUAAAAUCACAAUAUCAUUUCUUAAUAAUAAUUAAAAACCAUUUCAACCACUUUAUCUUUCAACGGUCUAAAAUCCUGCUCAUUCAACGGUCUUGAUUGUGGGGGCUGAUAGCGUAAAUUUGAGUCUAAACAUUGCUCCCUAGUUUCCUUGAGCUUCGGCUCUUAAGCCGAAUGGUUAAGGAAAUGAAUCAUUUAUGCAUGGCUCUCAACCGUUAGACAUGUUACUCGGCUACCGACUCCAUUCAAGAGAAAAAGAAAGUAAAACUGAGAAACAUGGCUUUGUUAAAACCAAGGUCAUAAAAGAAAUCACAUCGUGGCCUAUUAAAUGAUGUUGUCGGCCAUGACUAAGAAAUUCCAAACAAAUGCCAAUCUUUGCAUGCCAUACUUUUUGGCCGAGAUUUCAAUUCGACAGAUUUGUCCUAUUGUAAACAUUGCCUCCGAAUUAUACUAUGGUCGAGCUCAACCAACAAUCCUCGAUCGUUAAGAUCAAGUCAUUUAUGAUCCAACCAAAUCCUUCUUGGCCCUCGGCCUAAGCACUAUGUCCUCUAACACGAGCUCAUGCUACAAAUGCCAUGACUGCGUAGCAAAAUCUCUGCUAGUCGAGAAAAACAUAUGGUCGAGAAAAACUACCAGGAAGAACGUUGCAUGCACGCGUAUAAGGGCCUACAACAUUGGCAACCAAACCUACUUGUCCUGAUCACUGUCAAGGUCUACAUGGCAUUGGUCAAAUGGAGAAAGUGUACUUAUGUGUAACAUUUCAUUCGGCCAACUCCAAAACCAAUCGUCGCGAAGGCCUACCACCUAGCACGGGUGACCUUCUGCGAACAUCUUUUCUUGGCCAGGCUAAAGAACAACUUUCCAAGCUGAGCACACCAUCUUUUGGAUUGUCGCACCAUCUUGUUGCUCCCCUUAUGUUCUUAUGCAUCGGCCUAAAAGGCCAAAUGGUUAAGAAAAUAAUUUAUUCAUGCCUAGAUCUUUAUUCCUUGCCGAGAUCUUUCAAUACUAAUAUUGCUAAUCAGGUUUUGCACUAAGUCGAAUAAAAAAUGACCUCCAAAUAUUUUUGACCUUGUGAAAUAUUUUUCAUCAGCUGCCGAAUGUGUUGAACAAUUAUUAUGCCCCCCAUGCAUAAUUACUUCAUUAAUUUCGGCUUUUAACUCAAAUAACUUAGCCAAACGGGAUUUCUCCAUAUUGGCUGUAUCACCAAUAAUCAUAUCAAGUGGUGUAGUUUAUGCGUUUACGACCAUGUCUCCAACUACCAUAUCAAUUGAUGUGGUUUUAUGGUUUGAAGCCGUGUAUUGGUCUUGUUCGUCAUUGGAACACUCCUCUGACAAGUCAUUUUCUGAGUCGAAUUUUGACUCAGAAACUUGAACUCUUUCUUCUAGGCUUACUACCACACUUUCAGUCUCGACCGAGACAACAGGUGGCCUAGGUGUUUCUUCGGCCAAAUGAACAAUUUUUUUAGGCCAAAGUCUGAUUGUGGCCGAAGCGGAAAAUUGCUCCUCAGCCUUUAGACUUAAUCAUUUUUCAAAUGGAAUUGAUCUGUAGUAAAAAAAAUGUAAGGAAAACGUUCUUCAUCUAGCCAGGCAUUAAAUCGAGCCCUGUCUUCGUUUACCCAUUGCUCUUGUAGGGUAACAGGAGCUUUUAUUCUCAACAUGUUGGCAAAUGAUUUUUGCCAUGCAUGGAUUAAUUGCAUCCUAAUCACAUCACCAUCCUAAUCACAUCACCAUCUUUCACAUUUAUCCCAUGCAUGGAUUAAUUGCAUGAAAUUAAUCCAGUAUUAGCUGCAUUGCUAGAUACAAAAUAUCCCAUCAUCAUUCAAAUUGGGAUUUAGAUAAAUAUCAGGUAUAAAUAAUUUAAUAUAUUACUAAGAGAUAAUAUCAUGAUUAAAAUCACAAUAUCAUUUCUUAAUAAUAAUUAAAAACCAUUUGUACCACUUUAUUUUUCAACGGUCUAAAAUCAUGCUCAUUCAACGGCCUUGAUUGCGGGGGCUAAUAGCAUAAAUCUGAGUCUAAACAAUUAUCCAACUAAGCAUAUGCGCAUGCUCACAACUAUAAAAAGAAAGGAGGUCAUUGAUAUGUUGAUCAGCAAAGAUUCAAAGCACACAGAAAAUAUAUAGAUCCGAUUUAACAUAAGUGAGAGACAAUGUCGAAUAAAGAAGCGAAAAAUGAGAGGACAGAUCCUGUAAAGGAUGACAAGAAACCUGCAAAGGAUGACAAGAAACCUGUAAAGGAUGACAAGAAACCUGAAAAGGCUGGCGCUAGCGAUGGCACUGGCGGUGGUGGUGGCGGUGGUGGCGGUGGUGGUGGAGGUGGCGGUGGCGGUGGAGGUAGCAGUGCAGGUGCCGAUGGAUAUACCGGUGCUGGUGGAUAUGCCGGUGCCGGUGGAUAUGGCGGUGCAGGUGCCGGUGCCAGUGCCGGUGCCAGUACCGGUGCUCGUGCCAGUGGACAUCCUGCUCGAAAUGACAGUGCCAACAAAUAAAUAAGCCAGCUGAGGGAUUCAACGACGUUGGCAACUACUACUGAAUAGGCCCUUAAGAGCCGAUCCUAAAUAAGAGGGAUUUAACCUCGUUGCAUGCAUGAUUGUAAUUAAACAUAUUGCCUAAAAUAAGAGCCCAUCCAAAAUCCGAGGUUUAUAGCAAGACCUCUAAAUUUGUGUGUAAUAUCGUUACUAUAAUAAAUUGCUGUUAUUUUCACUCCAAUAUCUUAUCUCUAUACUUACUUAGUUAAAAUUUUAAUUACAAGUUUGUCUA
rnacentral:lncRNA from 1 species